UACGAAGGGGGCUAGCGUUACUCGGAAUUACUGGGCGUAAAGGGCGCGUAGGCGGCGUUCCAAGUUAGGCGUGAAAGUCCUGGGCUCAACCUGGGAACUGCGCUUAAGACUGGAAUGCUAGAGGAUGGAAGAGGGUUGUGGAAUUCCCAGUGUAGAGGUGAAAUUCGUAGAUAUUGGGAAGAACACCGGUGGCGAAGGCGGCAACCUGGUCCAUUUCUGACGCUGAGGCGCGAUAGCGGUGGGGAGCAAACAGG
rnacentral:rRNA from 1 species